AUGAAGGAGUCCGGCUAUCUAGCGGCCGUGGCCACGUAUCCUUUUUUACGCAUGAACAGUGUGCGCGUUACUGUAGCGACGAGGGCAGCGACGAGGGCAGCGAAAGCGAGCAGGCGGCGCAACAAAGCGAACAGCGAGAGAAAAGGGGAAGCGAGCGGCCAGCACGAGAAAAAAGACCUAGCCCGCGCCCCCGCAGCCGCCUCCUCUCCUGCCGCCGCCGCCUCGUCCUCGUCUCGUUUCUUGCCCUCAGCGCCGCCUCCUCUCCUUCCUCUCUCUCCCUCUGCGCCACCUCCUCUUCUCUUCAUGCGUGGUGGCGUCUCGUCAUCCCCAGCCUCCUCAAUCCCCUCCUCCCGCACGAACCCUAGCAGAGAGAGAAGAUGAGAGGGAGAGAGAAGGAAGGAGAGGAGAGGAGGGAGAAAGAGAGAUGAAAGAGGAGAGGGAGGUGUGGCGGCUGACGGGAGAGGGUCAUCGGCCGGCGUCGGCCUGCGCCGGCGAGGUCGGGCGCGACCUGGCGGUUGGCGACGACUCGAUCCGUUCCUGGAUUGGGAGCUGCGAGGAGGCUGGGGCUCGGGCGCGAUGCACGGGAGGCUGCACCCCGCCUCCAUCUCCACGCGUGCGGCGGCGACCUCGGGAGGAGCUCGAGCCACAACGGUGGUCCACGGCGCCGGCGUCAGCAGGAGGAGCGUCGGCCGCAGAAACGGCCGGCUCCGUUCGGUUUUCGCGCAGGAGAGUAUUGCAGGGUGGUGUUGCUUAGCAAGCUUGCCUGCAGUAUGCAGUUUUAUACCAAUUUUUGUGUUCGCUAAUAGUUUUGGUUUGAUUGAUUCAAGUUUUUGAUUUAUGCACAUACAUAUUGUAGAGUGUAUUGUCCCCUAGCAGACUUGAUUUUAAUAUUCUAUAUGCAGCUUUGAGACAAGUGACUAUUCUCUGGUAGUCAACUAACUCAUGGGUAAAUUAGAUGUCACAGCCAAAAACAUUUAUAUAGAUAAAUCAUUGUGCAUUUUACAGGGCAAUGCUUAGAUGUUAUGAUGUUUUGUAGGAACAAGCAUGUGAUUCCCCUUGAGUGCCAGGCAGCAGCAAGGCAGAGCAGAUCGAGUGGUAAAAGCGGUGGUGCUGUGUGACAUCCUUGCGCUGGCUCCCGUCGAUCUUAAUGAAGGUCCUGCCUGACUCAUGGUUGUCAAGCCAAACAACUGAAGGCAUGCUCAGAUCAUCAAAUUAAGGUGGCUUCUCUAUUGGCACAGCAUGUCCCAUCUGGUUUUAGGAAUUGGCUGGACUUCUUCCUUGUUCUGAGUGUUUGAUGCUGUAUGUGAAGGAUUAGGGCUUAGGGCACUUGAUGCCAGCGAGUUGGAGUUUGCUUGGUUACAUAUGCAGGUCUUUGGAAUCUGAAACUUCUAUGUGGUGAUGAGCUUCUGCUCAUCUUGAUUGAUUCAUCUCCAGUGAAGGAACACAGAGUUGUGCAGCCGGUGGUGUCUUGACCAAGGGUUGUUGUGAUGAACAUCCAUCGAUGGUACUGCCUCCUCCUCCGUAUCAUGCCCAGGUUCUCUGCUCGUCGAACAUAUAAAGGCGCAACCAUUGUGAUGUUUGCUUCCUGCCAUUAGAGCAAAGUUGCCUGAAUAAAAACAUCAGUAGUUUCCCCCUUUUAGCUUUGACGCGGUGUUAUGGUUGUACAAGUGUAUAGCAAUAGUAAGAUGUAGAUUUUUUGGGAAACGUGAGUGUGCGAUUAAUCCGAGCAGAGCCUUGCGCCACUACAAAAUGGUGAGGUAUUUCCAUGCCCACUGAAAUAGCAAACUUUAGGAUCGACCGGGCGCAUCAGUGACUUGAAGGGGAUAGCGCCAAGAGAAGAAAACAAUGGGGCGUGGUCUUCUGGAGGUGCAUCUGGUCCACGCCAAGGGCCUCUCUGGCAGCGAUUUCCUUGACCUGUGUGGUCGUUAGGUGCCGGAGCCAGGAGCACAAGGGCAACACCGCACUGAGGUCAGUGCCUCCAUAGCUCUCUGGUUUUUAGUUUCGUUACUCAUCUAUGUUCAAAGUGAUUGUAAUGUAUGCCUUGGUCUGCUCUGUUCAGUUCCAUAGGGAAUUUCUUGCCAUUGGCACGACCAGUAUUUACUAUGCAAGCAGACAAUAGUUGUUACAUUCCUGCCAACUAUAUGAAUCUCACAGCUUCUCACAUGUACCAUCCUCUUAGACUUUUAGAUUUCCAAAGAAACUAAAUGAAGAUAUGGUGGCCUGGUCUCAAUAGUACAACUUAAAGCAUUCCAUGCUUUAUAUUUUUUUCUGAAAUUUGCUUUUGAAGAAUCAUGUAUCUAUGUUAGAUCCGGUGAGAAAAGGCGGCUUCCCAGCAGAGGAUGCGACAGUGUUGGCCACAUUUGGUUUUCGAC
rnacentral:rRNA from 1 species